ensembl:lncRNA
AGAUCAGCCUACACUGGCCUACACUGGUGACAGAGCAAUUACACUGCCAAAAUCUCUGCUCUUCAAACUUAGGCACUGCAGCAGAAAAGUAGGAACAUGUGAUUUACUCACUUAGGUAAAUGGUGUUAUCAACAGCCUGAACAGGUCUAGCUCUCUUAGCAUAUCCUCAGAGGAGAGAUGGUCCAUUAACCUGCUGAUUUUGCUGGCCCUUGGUUUGACUUCUGGGAAGGAUGUCCUCUCUUGACAUGAUGACAAAAAGAUUAUUGAAGCUACCUAAGUGAAGUUCAGAAAUUGAUAAUCAACAGUUUCCUGUGACUAGCCAUGAAACCCCUGCAAUGGAAAAAAUCUCAGUGGAGAUGGGCCAGCACAAUGUGCCCAUGAAGCUCAGAGAAUAAAACAGAGUGUGACUGACCAGAGCUGUUGCAAAGAAGAUAAUUUCACCUUAACACAAAAGGGAUUGAGUUACAGUUAUUAAGAACAGCUAUGUCAGUUGGGUAUAACAACCGACUAUACUGCAGCUGAGUGAAUCAACUGGUAAUGUAAAUAUUUAUUCCAGAGUUUGUUAAAAGACUGUGGAUGUCCCCCUCACUUAGCCAGAUUAGUAUGGGAUAAGUGAAUACACGUCUUAGACUAACAAAGUAUAAAAAACUGGAGAAAAAAAUAAUAAGAAGAAGAAAGAGCAAUGAGUUUAAGCUGGCUUUAAGCCAUGCAUUCCUUCCCAGCAACUGGAGAUGCUCAGUACAUGGUAAGAACAUUACAGACACUAGAAACAGGAGUCAUGUUGGUAUUAUGAUUGAAUUACAUAUUCCAAUUUCUAGAUUUUUAUAAAUGUAACUUACAUUUGUACUGUGAUUUCACAAUUUUCAUUUUGUAUUACUCUGCUAAAGCAAAAAUCCCAUGUAAAAUCACAUAUAUUCAAAUAAGUAAGUUAGAUAUUAAACGUUACACCAUACAUACAUGGAAUAUUUAAAUAACUUUGUCAUAGAAUAUUGAAUUUUUAUUUAUUUAUUUAUUUAUUAUUUUUGUUUUGAUUGAAUAUCCUGUGAUUUAUUUUGGCUUUAAGAAUAACAGAUAAAAUCUUUCUGG